GACGAACGCUGGCGGCGUGCCUAAUACAUGCGAGUAGAACGCUGAAGAGAGGAGCUUGCUCUUCUUGGAAGAGUUGCGAACGGGUGAGUAACGCGUAGGUAACCUGCCUUGUAGCGGGGGAUAACUAUUGGAAACGAUAGCUAAUACCGCAUAACAAUGGGUGACCCAUGUCAUUCAUUUAAAAGGGGCAACUGCUCCACUACAAGAUGGACCUGCGUUGUAUUAGCUAGUAGGUGAGGUAACGGCUCACCUAGGCGACGAUACAUAGCCGACCUGAGAGGGUGAUCGGCCACACUGGGACUGAGACACGGCCCAGACUCCUACGGGAGGCAGCAGUAGGGAAUCUUCGGCAAUGGGGGCAACCCUGACCGAGCAACGCCGCGUGAGUGAAGAAGGUUUUCGGAUCGUAAAGCUCUGUUGUAAGUCAAGAACGAGUGUGAGAGUGGAAAGUUCACACCGUGACGGUAGCUUACCAGAAAGGGACGGCUAACUACGUGCCAGCAGCCGCGGUAAUACGUAGGUCCCGAGCGUUGUCCGGAUUUAUUGGGCGUAAAGCGAGCGCAGGCGGUUUGAUAAGUCUGAAGUUAAAGGCUGUGGCUCAACCAUAGUUUGCUUUGGAAACUGUCAAACUUGAGUGCAGAAGGGGAGAGUGGAAUUCCAUGUGUAGCGGUGAAAUGCGUAGAUAUAUGGAGGAACACCGGUGGCGAAAGCGGCUCUCUGGUCUGUAACUGACGCUGAGGCUCGAAAGCGUGGGGAGCGAACAGGAUUAGAUACCCUGGUAGUCCACGCCGUAAACGAUGAA
rnacentral:rRNA from 1 species